rnacentral:rRNA from 1 species
GAUGAACGCUGGCGGCGUGCUUAAUACAUGCAAGUCGAGCGAAGCACUUUAACGGAAUUCUCCGGAAGGAAGGUAAAGUGACUGAGCGGGCGUACGGGUGAAGGUAACGCGUAGGUUAACCGUGCCUUAUACAGGGGGAUAACAGUUAGAAAUGACUGCUAAUACCGCAUAAGACCACAGCACCGCAUGGUGCAGGGGUAAAAACUCCGGUGGUAUGAGAUGGAUCCGCGUCUGAUUAGCUAGUUGGUAAGGUAACGGCUUACCAAGGCAACGAUCAGUAGCCGACCUGAGAGGUUGAACGGCCACAUUGGGACUGAGACACGGCCCAG